GAUGAACGCUGGCGGCGUGCCUAAUACAUGCAAGUCGAGCGAACAGACGAGGAGCUUGCUCCUUUGACGUUAGCGGCGGACGGGUGAGUAACACGUGGAUAACCUACCUAUAAGACUGGGAUAACUUCGGGAAACCGGAGCUAAUACCGGAUAACAUGUUGAACCGCAUGGUUCAACAGUGGGAGACGGUCUUGCUGUCACUUAUAGAUGGAUCCGCGCCGCAUUAGCUAGUUGGUAAGGUAACGGCUUACCAAGGCAACGAUGCGUAGCCGACCUGAGAGGGUGAUCGGCCACACUGGAACUGAGACACGGUCCAGACUCCUACGGGAGGCAGCAGUAGGGAAUCUUCCGCAAUGGGCGAAAGCCUGACGGAGCAACGCCGCGUGAGUGAAGAAGGUCUUCGGAUCGUAAAACUCUGUUAUUAGGGAAGAACAAAUGUGUAAGUAACUAUGCACGUCUUGACGGUACCUAAUCAGAAAGCCACGGCUAACUACGUG
rnacentral:rRNA from 1 species